GACGAACGCUGGCGGCGUGCCUAAUACAUGCAAGUAGGACGCAGUUGCGAACGGGUGAGUAACGCGUCGGUAACUGCCUAUUAGAGGGGGCUAACUAUUGGAAACGAUAGCUAAUACCGCCUACUAGUAGAUGGACCUGCGUGGUGUGAGCUAGUAGGUAGGGUAAUGGCCUACCUAGGCGACGCUACAUAGCCGACCUGAGAGGGUGACCGGCCACACUGGGACUGAGACACGGCCCAGACUCCUACGGGAGGCAGCAGUAGGGAAUAUUCGGCAAUGGGGGGAACCCUGACCGAGCAACGCCGCGUGAGUGAAGAAGGUUUUCGGAUCGUAAAGCUCUGUUGUUAAGGAAGCGGUACUUAACCAGAAAGGGACGGCUAACUACGUGCCAGCGGCCGCGUAAUAC
rnacentral:rRNA from 1 species